ACCAGAGGCCGGAGCUAGCACGAGAGCUGAAGAGCCAGGCGGCCAGGCCGAAGCCAAGAACAAGAAGGGCGCGCGCGCUCGAUUCCCUUCUCUCUUCCUCGAUCCCCCGAUCCCGAGCGGGAGCUCCGAGCAGCGACGGCGGCGGAGAUGGUGGCGGCGAUCGCGGUGGCCUCGGCGGGCCUGGGGAUGCUGGCGGGCGUCGCCAUGGCCAACAAGUCGUCCGAGGGCGGAGCCGCGCAGUGGAGGCCCGGGCCGCCGCCGGCCGCGCUGCGGUGGGGCGGAGGCGCGCCGCGCUGCGAGGCGUGCGGCGGGUCGGGCAAGGAGGAGUGCCGCCUGUGCGCGCGCUGGUCCGACGCCGGGGCAAGGGGCAGCCGCCGGUCCGGCUGCGGGGCGUGCGCCGGCACGCGGCGGACGCCGUGCCGGAGCUGCGGCGGGUCAGGGACCGGCCGGCGCGCGCCCGUGCGCGUCGCAACCUCAGGGCGCGCGGCCCCGACCGCCUGGUCCGCCAGAUGAGACGACGAGACGAGCCGGCCUGAGCCGAUCCGUCGCGGCGGCGCCUCUUCGCCUCUCCUCGACCCGGCUGCCGGAUCAUGGAUGAAGGCUCUGUCCUCUGUCUCUGUGCGGCAACCUGCCGGAACGGACAGAGGAGCCGCGGCGUCGAGUUGUUUCUUCCUCUUUUGUU
rnacentral:lncRNA from 1 species